GGGAGCUUGCUCCUGCUUGAUCAGUGGCGAACGGGUGAGUAACACGUGAGUAACCUGCCCCAGACUCUGGAAUAACUUCGGGAAACCGGAGCUAAUACUGGAUACGAGACGGAUCCGCAUGGGUGCCGUUUGGAAAGUUUUUCGGUCUGGGAUGGACUCGCGGCCUAUCAGCUUGUUGGUGAGGUAAUGGCUCACCAAGGCGACGACGGGUAGCCGGCCUGAGAGGGCGACCGGCCACACUGGGACUGAGACACGGCCCAGACUCCUACGGGAGGCAGCAGUGGGGAAUAUUGCACAAUGGGCGAAAGCCUGAUGCAGCGACGCCGCGUGAGGGAUGACGGCCUUCGGGUUGUAAACCUCUUUCAGCAGGGAAGAAGCGAAAGUGACGGUACCUGCAGAAGAAGCACCGGCUAACUACGUGCCAGCAGCCGCGGUAAUACGUAGGGUGCGAGCGUUGUCCGGAAUUAUUGGGCGUAAAGAGCUUGUAGGCGGUUUGUCGCGUCUGCCGUGAAAAUUCGAGGCUCAACCUCGAACUUGCGGUGGGUACGGGCAGACUAGAGUGUGGUAGGGGAGACUGGAAUUCCUGGUGUAGCGGUGAAAUGCGCAGAUAUCAGGAGGAACACCGAUGGCGAAGGCAGGUCUCUGGGCCACUAC
rnacentral:rRNA from 2 species